rnacentral:lncRNA from 1 species
AGACCUAAUUUAAGGGCUGAUUGCCACUGGGGAAGGAUCUGUGGUUGGAGAUCCCUCCCUUGUGGGGUUUUCCUUGUGAGCCUAGACGUUUGGAGAUGGGUGAGCACCUUUCCAUUGUGCUAGAACUUUUGUUAUUAUACCUCCUGUAUUGUUGUUCCACUGCACGGAUGUUUCUGAUUGUUACAAUACACAAGUUCAGUUACUUCAGCAUGGGGAAAGAAGAGCACAGAGUGUUACUGAGGAAAGAGGAUGAUGUGAACAGAAAGUAUGAAGAUGAGAACUUGAGGUGGCCAUGGCAAGAGAGAAGAGCUACUCAGAGGCCUGAAGAGCAUCAGAUGAGAAUGACAUCGAGAACAGAUUAGUUUAGCUUCCUCUUGGAUAUACUGAAGGAAGAAGUGGAAUAAUAGAUUAAUUAAGGUUGGAAAAAAACACUGAGUUCACCUAGUCCAAUCAUCAACACGCCCCACCAUGCCCACUGACCACAUCCCCAUGGUUCUUGAGCUCCUCCAGGGAUGGUGACCCCACCACCUCCCUGAGCAGCAGCACCACUGUUUUGGAGGAGAAGUUUUUCCUAAUAUCCAACCUGAAAUUAACAUGAGACCUGGAGGCACUGAACAAAUCACAGCUGCAGCCAUCACAUACUGGGC